GCCCUGUACAUCUCCAACCCCACGUAUGAGUCCACACCUGCCCCCACUGACCCCCACCUCCCAGCAGAUGAGAAGGAUGACGAGCAGCAGAUGGUUGCCAGUGGCUCUUAUGAUCUUCUGCAGGAUAGCUGAAGAGAUGUGGGAUCUCACUCAGACACUCUCCGUACAGCUCAGAGCCUGAACUGCUGUAGAGCAGCAGGACACUCAAGUGCUGCAGUACCUUAGCAGACCAUAAGAGGGCCGAAGAAAAAAAA